rnacentral:rRNA from 1 species
UACGAAGGUCCCAAGCGUUGUCCGGAUUUAUUGGGUUUAAAGGGUGCGUAGGCGGGUUAUUAAGUCAGUGGUGAAAGCCUACAGCUUAACUGUAGAACUGCCAUUGAUACUGAUGAUCUUGAGUACGAUUGAGGUAGGCGGAAUGUGUCAUGUAGCGGUGAAAUGCUUAGAUAUGACACAGAACACCGAUUGCGAAGGCAGCUUACUAAGUCGUAACUGACGCUGAUGCACGAAAGCGUGGGGAGCAAACAGG